AUUUGGCUUCAUACAAAGUGUCCUAAAUAUUCAUGGUGGACAGGAGAUACAUAAGGUAAUGAACUUAUCAUAUCAUUGUAUUUAUCUACUACUAUAAAUUUUGAAUUAGUAUAUAAUAGUAAUAUUAUUAUUUUGCUCAAAUAUUUUGAUAUUCCACAUGUCACUAUAAGUUAUAAUAUGUUCUUGAGCUGUAACAUUCUGAAUGUUUUUAUAAAAUAUAUAGUAUUUUUUAAUUAGGCCAGAAUCAGUCAUAAGCUCUUAUGUUCCACAAACAUAAUUAAUGAAUAGGUUUAUACCAGUUUCAAAAAAAAUCAUUCUUAUAAUUUCAUUUUUAAGUUUCUUUUGACUAAUUCGUAAAAAUUGUACUAUAUUGAUUUUGUUACAAAUAUAAAAAAGAGAAAUUUAUCUCUGAGUAUCUAUCGCUAAAAUUAGUUUUAAUUCACUUUUUCGAUUGGACUUAUAUCAUUUAUAGAAAAACGGCUCGUAUAUAUUUUAAUUGUAUUGUACAUAAAUUAUAAUAUAUAGAUUCUUUUCUUCUUACUGUUUUAUAAGCUUUUUUAGUGUAUAUAAAAUUCUAAUUUGCUUAUAUCUUUAUAAUAAAUAUUUAGCUUAUAUAGAUUCAUUUAAUAUAAAUUACUAAAUAACAUACAUGAUCUAUCACUAUAACAUAUCUUUUUUGAAAUUUUCUUAAAUUAUUUAAUUAUUUUUGCAAUAAUAAAUUUGUAGUAUUCAUUUUUAUUUUAUAUUCUAAUGACCUAAAGCCACAUUUACAAAUAAAAACACUUUGUAGCGAAUCAAGUUCGCCACAGUUAUAACCUUAAAUGAAAAUCGAUCAUGCAAACAUUAUUUAAUGAAAAACAGCCAACAAAUAAUAAUCCUGUACAAAUGAAGACAUUUUGUAAUAUGUUUCAUUUUAUUGUUCUCUACGUGUAUGCAAAAUCCUGCUAAACAAACGUGUUCUCGGCUAUUUAAUCAAGAUUUUUUUACCUUAUUGAGAUAUUAGUUGAAAAAAUGGAAGGAAAUACUUAUUAUAUAGAAACUACAUUUAUGAAAUAUGAAAAUCCACAAUUUUUGUGGCCUGUUCAACAAUUUCAUUCUAAUACAAUAUUAAUGUCACCCGUGUUUCUAUUACCAUCUUGUACAUAUACAGCUACGAUGGAGCAUACUGGUCGUAAUCUAACUUUACAAUUUGAUUUUGACGAGAAACAAUAUGGCGGAUAUUUAAAUGUUGUAUAUUCUUUGUUAGAUUGUUGUCAAAAGACACAGAUUAUAAAUGGGACCAAUAAAUCAAUCAUAUAUCAAAACUUGUCUUCAUUUUACAGCAAAUUUGAUCUGUCACUUAAAGUCACUCAUAUGCUUCCUGUAACUAAACAAUUGCCCAAUUUCAAGAUAAAACAUAUACGAGAAAUAAUGAGACAUAUAAGUUCAUUACAUUUUAAUUCUGAAUUAAGCGAUUUAACAAUAUGCGUUGAAGAUUCAGUAUAUCCUGUGCACAAAUGUAUACUUGGAGCACAUAGUCCUGUAUUUGAAAAUAUGUUCACAUUUGGAAUGAAGGAACAGAAAGAAGACAGAGUUUAUAUAACUGAUUUAACAAAAGGAACAUGUACUUCUAUGUUGUCUUAUAUAUAUACUAAUAGACUUGAAGAUUUAGAUAAUAUUGCAAGUGAACUUAUUUUUAUAGCUGACAUGUAUAACAUAUUAGAUUUGGUAAAAUUAUGUAAAGGUGCUUUGAUCAAACAAAUGAACGAAGAGAAUGUAUUCGACACUCUUGUUAUUGCAGAUAAAUUACAUAUGCAUGAUCUAGAAUUACUUUGUCUUCAAUAUAUAGCGCACAACAAGACCAUUAUUCAUUCAAGCAAGGAAUAUGAAGAUAUAAAGAAAUAUCCAAAUAUAGUAGCAAAAAUAUUGGAUUACUUCAUGGGCUAAAAAUACUUUAUUGUUUUAUCAAAAUCUUAGUGUAUUAAAUCGAUAUGAAUAAAAUUAAAUAAAUUUCUUUUCUAUAAUUUUAUGUUCUGCAAUUUCAAUUUUUCCAUACAAUUAAUAAGUAGUUCUUAUUUAUAUUUCUUCUAAUUGGUAUUAAGAGUAUUUUAUUUCAAAUCGUUAAAAAAAUAUAAACAAUGACUUAUGCACACAGGAUAUAAUAAAAUUUCAGAAAUUGAUUCCUCAUAUAUAGAAAAAAAAAAUCUAAAAGUCUAUCAAUAUCUUUAGAUCCAAAAAUGCUUAAUUUCUGAGUCAUACUACCAGUUAACAGUACAUAUAAUAGUUUAGUACGACUCGUGAACGUAAUAAUACUUGAUUGACUAUAACUAGCGAUAAGAUCUUAAACAUUUUGCUUCGAAUCUGUUUCAUUUGUUUUAGUGAAUUCAAAUUUUGAAAAAUUUGAAUUACCUCGAAUGUGAUUUGAAGCAUACGAAGUCUUGAAAAUCUUGAUAAAUCUCGAGUCUUCUGUCACUUUCAUUGUUAUAUCGAUAAUGGACACACGCUGAAACAGUUCUAAUUACUUCGAAAAUUAUUGAAUAUCUUGAUGGUUAAUUCAUACAUUUCAAAGUCUUAAAAGUUUCGAUAAAUUUUAAAAGCUAGAUGAGUGAAUAUCCAAUAUAAAUAGAUAUAAAUAUUUUAUAUCAAUAUAAAUAAAUAUAAAUAUUUUAUAAGCUUUCUGAUUACUUUUGUUCAAGCUAUAUCAUUAACAUAAAAUAUUUAAAAAUUUACUUAACAUUAAUGUACUAUUGUGUAUAAUAUAAUAUAAUAAUAUAGAUUACAGUAAUUAUAUUUUCAAAGAUAAAUAAAUAUUAGAACCAUUUCAACAAUUUACGACAUUUUUUUCUUUUUCACUUUAAUUUGUUUCGUAAAAAAAAAAAACCGCGAACUUUUCGUAAUAAUAGUUUUAUGAAUUGUAUUCAGAAUACUAAAAUAAGUGGAUUAAAGAAUUUUAAAUAAUACCUUGUUACUAAACAAGUAAUAAAAAUUAGUAAUGGUAUAAGAUUUAAUAUAUUGCGCGCAAAAAAUCCAUUCGCUGAUACAAUAUAAGUGACAAUAUAUUCUAGAUUUAUCAAAAUCAUUAAGAAUUAUAAACUUAAAAUUAUGUUCGAAAUUACGAUACAGAUGCAAAACGGUUUGAAGUAUCCGAGAUCUCAUUAUGUAAAUUCAUGGUUGCUUGAAAAAAGAUUCAUGACUUAUCAAAAAUUCAAAAUCUAUAUUAACUAUAUUAAGUUUCGAAUCAUAUUCGAAGAGUUUGAAAUUGUCGUCAUUUGUUUAGAUUCAAUGCGAUUCGAUUACUAACUAUAACGAACUAAUUUGAAUGAACAAAGAAGAUUUUCGUAAAUCUCUAUUGGUUCGCGUAUUGGAAAUCAAAAUUCUCAAAAUGUAGAUGAGUUUUCUCAUCUAGACGUGCAAUAAUGUUUACGCCAUCUAGAUGUAAUUACUAUUGCCCUUUAAGAAUUGUCACAGUUUACAUCACAUAAUCAAAUAGUUUUUCAUUCUAAUAAACGUUAUGCAGUCAAUCUCAUAAAAUAUUUUAGAUUCCUAUAACUCGCUGUAAAUGUUAAAUUCAGAAUUUUCAAACUAAAGCUCAUUGGUAAUCUUGUUUAACAUAUUUUGCAUUGUAUCGUCCGUAGAUCAAGUGAACAUUAAUCAAAGAAUGUUGGUUAGCAUGAAACAAAUUUUGUUAAUUUCAUGAUAAUCUAUCAAAAUAUUCCCUAACAAAAAUUAUUACAAGUUUGUUGAUUUCAUAUGUUCAUUUAUAUGUUAAUAGUGUGUAUAGGACGGCUGCUUUAAUUAUUAAACUAUCCAGGCGCCUCUAAUCUACUUAUACCAAAUGACGAAUACUUAUAUCAAAUGAAGGUGCUCACAAUUAAAAUAAAAUUAUAUUUAUAUAUUA